GGACGUGAACACUGGUGAUCACUAAGUAGCUCGAGGACAUGCAGGGAUGAGACUUAUGGACCACAGCAUAAUGACGUGUCUCUUUUCUAUAUUCUUGGUGACAGUAUCUGCCGCCAAGCCUCCGUCCAAUGCAGCCACAUCCGCUAGUCCAGUGACUCCAGCCAACCAACUAUCCAACGCAUCCACUGCUACAUCGAAUUCAUUCCAAACCAAUGCAACUACAACUUCAUCCAGUGUUGACCCGUCAUCCAACACAUCCUCCUCAUUAAGUGAAGACACUUCAUCCCGU